rnacentral:rRNA from 1 species
UACGGAGGGUGCAAGCGUUAUCCGGAUUCACUGGGUUUAGAGGGUGCGUAGGUGGGCCUGUAAGUCAGCGGUGAAAUCUCCGGGCUUAACCCGGAGACUGCCAUUGAUACUAUAGGUCUUGAAUUAUCUGGAGGUAAGCGGAAUAUGUCAUGUAGCGGUGAAAUGCUUAGAUAUGACAUAGAACACCAAUUGCGAAGGCAGCUUACUACGGAUAUAUUGACACUGAGGCACGAAAGCGUGGGGAUCAAACAGG